GACGAGCCACCCGAACGUUAUUCGGAAUUACUGGGCUUAAAGGGUGCGUAGGCGGUGUAGCAAGUCGGGAGUGAAAUACCCCAGCUUAACUGAGGAAUUGCUUUCGAUACUGCUGCGCUUGAGUGAGACAGAGGUAAGCGGAACUUAGGGUGGAGCGGUGAAAUGCGUUGAUAUCCUAAGGAAUACCGGUGGCGAAGGCGGCUUACUGGGUCUCAACUGACGCUAAGGCACGAAAGCUAGGGUAGCAAACGGG
rnacentral:rRNA from 1 species